AGUUGAAGUUAUCAUGUUCCAGUAUUAUUUCACGGAGCUUUUAAUUCGCGCAUGUAAUAGCUUAUUGCCAAUUAUUUUUUAUUUUAUUCGAACGAUCUCCGAUAAUGGAUUUAAACGGAUACAGAUAAAUGGAUGAGGACAUGUGCUGGACCAACCAAAGGGAAGACAUACUAAAGGAGGGUUCCCCAGUUCCGGUCCUGGAGAGCCAGAAUUUAACACGGUUUGCAGAUUUUCCUGUUCAAACACAUACAACACCCUGUUUGAGCAGGAAAGACUGAAGCUGGUUUGACCCUCAGGCCUCCAACUGCCUUGGGGGACUUUAUUUGUUUAUAUGUUUAUUUGUGGCCCGGGCACAUUAGCUUUGUGCAAUCUAGGCAGAAGCCAGAAAGAGGUGAGUGACAGAUUAAAUAGAUCAUUGUCUGAAGGACAAGAUGUCGUUGCAUUUGUAAUGGAUCAUAUAAGGAACCAUAUUCAUUGCACAAGUUUAAUUUAAUAUUUUUUAUGUUUAUUUUGCACUUAAUUUGACCUUAGUUUAUAUACUUUUGUUAUAUGUAUUUACGGCUUGCGAGUAUGUGUGCCCCCUACAGGUUGAGAGGGAAACCGUAACGAUAAAAGACACUUACAUCCGAGGUCAGGGGCGUAGGUUUCAUAUUUCAAAAUUGGGCCCCCCAAUUUGGGGGGAUGUGUAUAUCGGGUCAGACGUUUGACUUAACGUUGCUUAUAUGACGUUUCUGUAGUCGCGCUGUAUUCCUUUAUUCGUUAAGCCUGCUCAGCCAGCAGUAGCGCUGGGUUUAUUCCGGUUUGAGGGAGUGCAGAUGGGACAUCAGCAUAAACCGCACGUCUCUCAGUUAAAAUGUGUAUGGAGGGUAUUUUCUUCCCCUCUGACUUUUUUCACUGACAAAAAGUCAGUUGUAAACCAGCAUUGCAUUGCCAACAGUGGGAUAUCGCAAAAGCAUUUUAUCCCCAAACUGAUAUAUCCUUUAUGUCACCAGCAGGUGUCACCAGAGGGCUGGGAUAAGUGUUUGCUUACCUUCUUCUUAAGCCAUUGAGGUAGAGCCCAGUCCUGCUGGUGCCCCACAUGCUGGGAAUGUCCCUCAGCUGCCUAAACAUGCCCAUGAGGUUCACCAUGACAAUGGCAGCCAGCGCAGUCUGCGGAGGCGGAGGUGAGAGUAAGGUAAGAGAUACAGACAGCAAGUUACUUCCCACAGUAAAUGUGCAUAUUGUACAAUGUGUCAAUAAAUGGAAAAGAGACACGUAAAAUUCCCCAGCAUCCAUAGCCAGGCAGCACUCAGCCAAUCACACCAAUUUGCUUGACUGCACUUAUUACUUUACACAGGGAAGUUUUCUCGAGGGCUUGCCAAUGACUUUCUUCCUGCUAUGGACGCGGUCAUGUGUCCUGUUCCAUAACCACCAUGCUGCAUGUCACCCUGUAAUAUCCUAGGUUAACAAGGCAGUUAUGCAUACUGGGGGCAAAGUGGUUACUAAGGCUAUGAAAACUACAACUGUCUGCUGAAUAAUUAAGCACGAACAUAAACACUGAGAACAUGAAUGUGAUUUUAAUAACGGUGUAGGUAAUCCCCCCCCCCCUCCUUCUCACGCCUUAUCCUGGUCAAAGUCCUGGCCUGGUACCUCUGGUUUAGGCAAUGAGGAAUGAGUAAAGAGUAACAUUCAGGUGCUGGAACUUUCCUGUUGUUCCUGAGGCAAUGACUGGAAUACUAAGCCAAUGGCCACUACCACAAUCAGCACCACAAUGGGUGCCAACAGGCGAACUGUCUGGGAAGAGACACACAAUAUGCACAUGCACGGGGAAACAGCCAUCUGGCAUUAAGCAAACAGCCGGAAGUACGGCUCAGUGCAGUGAUUAACUUCAUCUUAUCUUUAUGUCUUUACAGUUGUCAUAAGUCCACAAAUAAUGAGUGGCCACGUUUAUUCUGAGAUAAAAUUGAGAUGUCAAAUUCAUUACGCAGAAAAGCACAUUCCUUAAUGUGUAAAGAGAAUGUGAAACGCUACCUUUGUGAAUAUUCCCCCCCCCCCUCCCCCCACCUAUGUGAAUAUU